CCUACGGGAGGCAGCAGUGGGGAAUAUUGGGCAAUGGGCGCAAGCCUGACCCAGCAACGCCGCGUGAAGGAAGAAGGCUUUCGGGUUGUAAACCUCUUUUAAGGGGGAAGAGCAGAAGACGGUACCCCUUGAAUAAGCCACGGCUAACUACGUGCCAGCAGCCGCGGUAAUACGUAGGUGGCAAGCGUUGUCCGGAUUUACUGGGUGUAAAGGGCGUGCAGCCGGAGAGACAAGUCAGAUGUGAAAUCCACGGGCUCAACCCGUGAACUGCAUUUGAAACUGUUUCCCUUGAGUGUCGGAGAGGUAGUCGGAAUUCCUUGUGUAGCGGUGAAAUGCGUAGAUAUAAGGAAGAACACCAGUGGCGAAGGCGGAUUACUGGACGAUAACUGACGGUGAGGCGCGAAAGCGUGGGGAGCAAACAGGAUUAGAUACCCCAGUAGUC
rnacentral:rRNA from 1 species